rnacentral:rRNA from 1 species
CCUACGGGGGGCAGCAGUGAGGAAUAUUGGUCAAUGGGCGCUAGCCUGAACCAGCCAAGUCGCGUGAGGGAUGACUGCCCUGUGGGUUGUAGACUUCUUUUGUCUGGGGAUAAAGUGCAGGAUGUAUCCUGCUUUGCGUGUACCUUGUGAAUAAGGAUCGGCUAACUCCGUGCCAGCAGCCGCGGUAAUACGGAGGAUCCGAGCGUUAUCCGGAUUUAUUGGGUUUAAAGGGAGCGUAGGCGGGUCGUUAAGUCAGUGGUGAAAGUGUGCGGCUCAACCGUAACAUUGCAAUUGAUACUGGCAGCCUUGAGUGCAGUGGAGGCAAGCGGAAUGCGCGGUGUAGCGGUGAAAUGCAUAGAUAUCACGCAGAACCCCGAUUGCGAAGGCAGCGUACUAAGCUGUGACUGACACUGAGGCACGAAAGCGCGGGGAUCAAACAGGAUUAGAUACCCUAGUAGUC